UACGUAGGAGGCGAGCGUUGUCCGGAAUUACUGGGCGUAAAGCGCGCGUAGGCGGUCUGUUGCGUAGGCGGUGAAAGCCCCAGGCUCACCUUGGGGAGGUCCGUCUAAACGAGCAGACUGGAGGGCGGUAGGGGCUGGCGGAACGCCCGGAGUAGCGGUGAAAUGCGUUGAGAUCGGGCAGAACACCAGUGGCGAAGGCGGCCGGCUGGGCCGUACCUGACGCUGAGGCGCGAAAGCCAGGGGAGCGAACGGAAUUAGAUACUCCGGUAGUCCUGGCCCUAAACGAUGGCAACUAGGUGUGGGGGGUAUCGACCCCUUCCGUGCCGUAGCACACGCGAUAAGUUGCCCGCCUGGGGAGUACGGCCGCAAGGCUAAA
rnacentral:rRNA from 1 species